GGCGAACGAGGUAGUAACACGUAGGAACGUACCCUUUAGUCAGGAAUAACCAGUCGAAAGAUUGGCUAAUACUUGAUAGUCUCUUCGGAGUAAAGAUUUAUCGCUAAAGGAACGGCCUGCGGGAUAUCAGCUAGUUGGUAGUGUAAUGGACUACCAAGGCUAUGACGUCUAGGGGAGCUGAGAGGCUGACCCCCACCGAUGGUACUGAGACACGGACCAUACACCUACGGGUGGCUGCAGUCGAGAAUCUUCCACAAUGGACGAAAGUCUGAUGGAGCGACGCCGCGUGAUUGAUGAAGUCCCUCUGGGACGUAAAGAUCUUUUAUCAGGGAGAAAGUUUAUUGAUAGUACCUGAUGAAUAAGGGGUUGCUAAACUCGUGCCAGCAGCAGCGGUAAUACGAGUGCCCCAAACGUUAUCCGGAAUCACUGGGCGUAAAGGGUGUGUAGGUGGUUGUGUUAGUCUUUUGUUAAAUUCUUCGGCUUAACCGGGGACCUGCGAAAGAAACGGCACGACUAGAGGAUGUGAGGGGUGAAUGGAACUCAUGGAGUAGGGGUGAAAUCCGUUGAUAUCAUGGGGAACACCAAAAGCGAAGGCAGUUCACUGGCACAUUCCUGACACUGAAACACGAAAGCGUAGGUAGCGAAUGGGAUUAGAUACCCCAGUAGUCUACGCCCUAAACGAUGAUCGCUAGUUUUUCGGAGUAUCGACCCUCUGAGAGACGAAGCUAACGCGUUAAGCGAUCCGCCUGGGUAGUACGACCGCAAGGUUAAAACUCAAAGGAAUAGACGGGGACUUGCACAAGCAGAGGAUUAUGUGGUUUAAUUCGACGAUAAACGAA
rnacentral:rRNA from 1 species